UGAAAAUAAACUUGUUCAGCGAUCCCUCCACCAAUCCGUUAUAAAUUAAAACGUUCAAAGAACAAGAUAUUUUGGCUGGAAAGCUCAAACGGAGAGUUCACUUUACCACAUGUCACCAGAAAUGACAGCGAUGUGUACAUCUGUUUACCUGAAUGGGACUCAUUAGUCCCAAAUCUGCAAGGCCUCAAUACCACCGUCGAAGUGACUGUCAAUUAAUGGAUGUGUCUCCUCCAUUGAAACCUCCCCCACCACCAGUGAAAUACACGUCAUUGAAAAACCAUGAUGUCCCUAUGACUGAUAUUCUAGUGUGAAUGCAUCAUACUCUUGAGAAGCCACAAACUCUGGGCCACAAAUAUGCUGACGAGAAGAUUGUUCCCUAGAGGCCGCACCCAGAAAUGAAAAUUGUUUCAUCAAUAACUCAUCCUCAUGAAGUUUCUUUCAUCUUGUCUUUUUCAUUAAAUUAAAAAAAAUGCGUUCUAUACUAGACUAACUGAGACUUUUCAUGGCACUU